AUGAAAAUGCAUCAUUCAUCAAACUUUAAUCCAAGUUCUUAUUCAAUUUUGUUUGAAGUACAAGUUAGAAAUCACUAUUUACAUUCACUUAAACCUUGCAAGAUUAUACCACUGCCUUUACAUAAACCAUUACCAUUACAAGCUAACCUCAUGUCACAAACAUUACAACUCAAAAAUAAUUACAAAAAAGAAGUUCUUAUAUCUAUCCUAAAGCCUAUCUCUUCAUACUUCAAAGUCUUCCAUGAUAAGCCUCCAUGUUUCAAACUCUUUGUCGUCUUCUAUAAUUUCGUUCUCUUCAAGUUCUGA